rnacentral:tRNA from 1 species
GUUUUUAUAGUUGAAUAACAACGGUAGUUUUUCAGACUAAUAGUUUUGGUUAAAGGCCAAAUAAGAAUU